GAAGAGAAGCCAUGAGCUUUCAAUAAGCCCCGCGGCAGGGCAGCCAGGGUCAUGUCCAGAGCAGAGUGGGCCCUGCUGCAGGAGGAUGAGCGGGUAGGGCUGGACUGUGCUGCAGAGAUGGCCUCUGGACCAAGGGGUUCCCAGUGACUGGCAGAUCCCGGCUCAGACGGGAGGCUGCGUCUGCGUCCUUCCCUCGGCACAGGGUCUGAUGGGCCCAGGGUCCAUUUCCUAAGUGUCCGUCAUGUGCUGGGGCCUGGGGGCAACAUGUGCAGCACCCUCAGUGGUCUCCUUGAUGAGAGGGAGGUGGACAGCAGCCACGCCAUGUAGACCAGGGCUGGCGGGACACCCAGUGCUGCCUUGGUGGAGACGGGAGGAAGGCGGGCAGUGACCUGGGAGGGGGCUUCAGGGGGCUGGGACCGUGAGCACCAGCGGCGGAUGAGCUGAGGUUUGCUGUGGCCAGCAGAGUGGCGGAGGGCCGGACUGGUGGCAGAGGAAGAGGGGGCCGUCCAGAGCGCUGCGUGAAGGUUCUCCCUGUUUUCUUGGUCUCUGUCAAGAUGGGCUCCACGGGCAGCAGUCUCGCUGGGGCUGUCCCAGCCAAGGCUCCUGUAAGGGGCGAGGAGGGCGCCUGGGCAGAGGGAGGAGCCCCUGCGCGGAGCUCUGCCUCCCGGGUGCUCAGGGCUCCAGCAGGGGUGGCAGGCCAGGCUGGUUGUCAGCGGGGGGUGAGCUGGAGGGUCGCCACUGGCCACGGCCCAGGGAGGGGCUGCAGUGUGGGUCAGCAGCUGUCCCUGUGGGUAGGGAAGAUGCUGCUGGCCUGACCUCUUAUUUGCAGUUACACUUAAUUCUCUACGUUAGAGAACACAAAGCCCAAGAGAGCAAGUGCCAGGGUCAGGUCCUGACCCCAGAAGUGGCCGUUGCCAGCCCGAGUCCUUCCAGAGACACUCAGGCACACAGGCAGGCACGCACACCUGUGUGUAAAAUGGGGUGCCCUCUGCACGCUCCAAACAAGACCACGGACACUUCCCAUGCUCUUAAGGAUUUUUCUAGAAAAUCAUUUUCCCCAAUGAAAAUGGCUUCACAUUUUUUAUUCUGAGUGGAAAGUGCACUUUUUGUUAAGAAAGGGGACAAAGGCUAGGGUGGCAGUGACUGGUCCCUUCAGACUUCAGUCUGUGCACACCAGCCCUUUCCCCACACACCCUCUCACACACCCCUCCAGGGACUGCUGCCGGAGAGUCAUGGUGUCUUGCUGGUCAUUCUGCACUCUACUUGGUGACUGAGUCACCUGCCCCACGCCUGCAGGUGGUCACUGGCCCCUUCCACCGCGUGGCUCUCAGGCUCUGCCCACUCAGAUCUGGGCCCUCUUCACCCAUCAGCUGAGCCCCGGGAAGCCAAGCCUUGGGUUUCCCAGGGCCAGUCCUGUGCCCUCCGGGGCUCGGGGGAAGGUGGUGUUGGGAGCGGUGGGCUCAUGCCAUAGGUCGCGAGUGCCAACCAGUGUGACCGUCUGAUGUCCCUCUCCCCUCCUGUUUCUGGACGGUUGUCUCCUGAUGGGGACGGACCCUACAGCAUAGCGUUCCUCUUCUGCCUCAGUGUGACCCUCACUGCGUGAAAGUGUCAGUAUGUGUUGAGCCCAUCUGUCCCGUCCUGCAGGAUUGGGCUGACAGGCAGGCACAGGGAGCCAUCCCCAGAGGGGACCAGGGCACAAGGAUGACCUUUGCCUGGACUUCACAACCAUCUCAGUGCAUUGGUGUUACCUGUGGUUUUAGAAUCAGCCCAGAAUUAGUUUUGUGUCAAGUAGGAGAGGCACCUAGCAAGGUCUGUCUGGGGAUGACCAGUGGUGACCGUGUCAGGACCUGCGGCUCGUGUGGCUCCUGCCAGCAAGCUGGCUCUCCCAUUGGCUCCUCCACAGCCCAGCUGUGGGCACGUGUCCUUUCAGAGGAACUGGGGCUGUCCAGUUGAGAGUGUCUUGCUGGUCACUCUGCCUGGCUUGAUGGGGAGACCGUGGCACCGUGCCAGGGCUGACCCCAGGUAAUGGAGGGUGCUGUGGUGCAGUCGGCUUCCUCUAGAUGGGAACCGUCCUGGAUCCUCCCUGUCACAUGUCACGUCCCACUGAUGCCCCUAGAGCCACUUAGGGAACCUUCUGCCACAGUGUCCCUGCCUCCCUCCUGCCCCGGAGCAUGCUGACUCCUGCGUCCACACGGGGAUAGCCUAUUCCCUUCUCGAUGCUCGGGUCCUGUGGCC
rnacentral:lncRNA from 1 species